GACGAACGCUGGCGGCGUGCUUAACACAUGCAAGUCGAACGGAAAGGCCUGCUUUCCCUUGUGGAUUGCGGGUACUCGAGUGGCGAACGGGUGAGUAACACGUGAGUGAUCUGCCCCCAACUUGGGUAUAAGCCUGGGAAACUGGGUCUAAUUCCCGAUAGGACUGCAGGGUGGUGCCUGUGGUGGAAAACGAUUUUCUAGUGGUUGGGGAUGAGCUCGCGGCCUAUCAGCUUGUUGGUGGGGUAAUGGCCUACCAAGGCGGCGACGGGUAGCCGGCCUGAGAGGGUGGACGGCGACAUUGGGACUGAGAUACGGCCCAGACUCCUACGGGAGGCAGCAGUGGGGAAUAUUGCACAAUGGGCGGAAGCCUGAUGCAGCGACGCCGCGUGGGGGAUGACGGCCUUCGGGUUGUAAACUCCUUUCGGCCGCGAGGAAGCCACCUGGUUGGAAGGGUGGUGACGGUAGUGGUAGAAGAAGCACCGGCUAACUACGUG
rnacentral:rRNA from 1 species